rnacentral:tRNA from 1 species
ACCUGGGUGGCUCAGUCAGUUGAGCAUCUGACUUUGGCUCAGGUUCUCACGGUUCAUGGGUUUGAGUCCCACAUCGGGCU